GUGCCCGUAGCUCAGUGGAUAGAGCGACUGUCUACGGAACAGUAGGUCCGGGGUUCGAAUCCCUGCGGGCACG
rnacentral:tRNA from 1 species